UACGAAGGGGGCUAGCGUUGCUCGGAAUCACUGGGCGUAAAGGGUGCGUAGGCGGGUCUUUAAGUCAGGGGUGAAAUCCUGGAGCUCAACUCCAGAACUGCCUUUGAUACUGGGGAUCUCGAGUCCGGAAGAGGUGAGUGGAACUCCGAGUGUAGAGGUGAAAUUCGUAGAUAUUCGGAAGAACACCAGUGGCGAAGGCGGCUCACUGGUCCGGUACUGACGCUGAGGCGCGAAAGCGUGGGGAGCAAACAGG
rnacentral:rRNA from 1 species